rnacentral:rRNA from 1 species
UACAGAGGUCCCAAGCGUUGUUCGGAUUCAUUGGGCGUACAGGGUGCGUAGGUGGCGCUGUAAGUCGGGUGUGAAAUUUCGGAGCUUAACUCCGAAACUGCAUUCGAUACUGCGGUGCUCGAGGACUGGAGAGGAGACUGGAAUUCAUGGUGUAGCAGUGAAAUGCGUAGAGAUCAUGAGGAAGACCAGUGGCGAAGGCGGGUCUCUGGACAGUUCCUGACACUGAGGCACGAAGGCCAGGGGAGCAAACGGG